AGAGUUUGAUCCUGGCUCAGGACGAACGCUGGCGGCGCGCUUAACACAUGCAAGUCGAGCGAGAACCAGUCCUUCGGGGCUGGGGACAGCGGCGAACGGGUGAGUAACACGUGAGUAAUCCACCCUCGGUACCGGAAUAGCCCGGGGAAACCCGGAUUAAUGCCGGAUGGCCCAUCUGUUCUUCGGAAUUUGAUGGAAAAGAUAGCUUCGGCCUUCGACCGAGGACGAGCUCGCGGCGGAUUAGCUUGUUGGCGGGGUAAAGGCCCACCGAGGCGACGAUCCGUAGCUGGUCUGAGAGGACGAUCAGCCACACUGGGACUGAGACACGGCCCAGACUCCUACGGGAGGCAGCAGUGGGGAAUCUUGCGCAAUGGGCGAAAGCCUGACGCAGCGACGCCGCGUGAGGGAAGAAGGCCUUCGGGUUGUAAACCUCUUUCAGGAGGGACGAAGCCACUCGGGUUAAUAGCCCAGAGGGUGACGGUACCUCCAGAAGAAGCCCCGGCUAACUACGUGCCAGCAGCCGCGGUAAUAC
rnacentral:rRNA from 1 species